ACGGGUGAGUAACGCGUGGGUAACCUGCCUUAUACAGGGGGAUAACACUCAGAAAUAGGUGCCAAUACCGCAUAAGCGCACAGCCUCACAUGAGGCAGUGUGAAAAACUCCGGUGGUACAGGAUGGUCCCGCGUCUGAUUAGCUAGUUGGCAGGGCAACGGCCUACCAAGGCGACGAUCAGUAGCCGACCUGAGAGGGUGACCGGCCACAUUGGGACUGAGACACGGCCCAAACUCCUACGGGAGGCAGCAUG
rnacentral:rRNA from 1 species